AUCCCUGUAGUGCAAUUGAUAGCGCUUUGGACAUCUAUCCCAAAGAUCGUGGGUUUGAAUCCUACCUGGGAUG